GAUGAAGAACGUAGCGAAAUGCGAUACGUAAUGUGAAUUGCAGAAUUCAGUGAAUCAUCGAAUCUUUGAACGCACAUUGCACUCUCUGGUAUUCCGGAGAGUAUGCUUGUUUGAGUAUCUGUAAACAUCUCAAAUCUCUCUUCAAUUGCUUCAAUUGGGUCGAGAGAAUUGGAUUUGAGCGAUCCCGACUCCUUCGUCAGAAAGAGGAGGGUCGCUUGAAAUGCAGGUGCAGCUGGACAUUCUUCUGAGCAAAAAGCAUAUCUAUUUAGUCCCGUCAAACGGAUUAUUACUUUUGCUUCAGCUAAUAUAAAGGUUGAAUGAACUACCAACGCUGAUUGCAGGAAAACAUGUUCGUUUAUUCGGACUUGUAAACUCGAUCUCAAAUCAAGUAAGACUACCCGCUGAACUUAAGCAUAUCAAUAAGCGGAGGA
rnacentral:misc_RNA from 1 species